AUUUUGUAAAAAUAAAAUUCCAUUUUUUCCGUAUUUUACUCAUAAAUGGACUUAAUUUUUUCUGCGGGGAAACAUAACAUUCACUCUGUGGUUAAAGUUUUUAGAAUUUUAAUAACUUUCUUAAACUAUCCUGGUUUUGUACCAAACUUGGACAGAAGCUUGUUUAUGAUCAUAAGAUAGUAUCCAGAAGUAAAUUUUGUAAAAAAAUAAAUCCAUUUUUUCUGUAUUUUACUUUUAAAUGGACUUAGUUUUUCUGCGGGGAAAC
rnacentral:lncRNA from 1 species